CUAAUACAUGCAAGUCGAGCGCGGGAAGCAGACUGAAGCCUUCGGGCGGACGUCUGUGGAACGAGCGGCGGAUGGGUGAGUAACACGUGGGCAACCUGCCUGUAAGCUCGGGAUAACUAGCGGAAACGCUAGCUAAUACCGAAUAACGCUGCGCACCGCAUGGCGCGCAGAUGAAAGGCGGCGCAAGCUGCCACUUACAGAUGGGCCUGCGGCGCAUUAGCUAGUUGGUGGGGUAAUGGCCUACCAAAGCAACGAUGCGUAGCCGACCUGAGAGGGUGAUCGGCCACACUGGGACUGAGACACGGCCCAGACUCCUACGGGAGGCAGCAGUAGGGAAUCUUCCGCAAUGGACGCAAGUCUGACGGAGCAACGCCGCGUGAGUGAUGAAUGUCUUCGGAUUGUAAAACUCUGUUGUUAGGGAAGAACAAGUACCGUUCGAAUAGGCCGGUACCUUGACGGUACCUAACCAGAAAGCCCCGGCUAACUACGUGCCAGCAGCCGCGGUAAUACGUAGGGGGCAAGCGUUGUCCGGAAUUAUUGGGCGUAAAGGGCGCGUAGGCGGUCUCUUAAGUCUGAUGUGAAAGCCCACGGCUUAACCGUGGAGGGUCAUUGGAAACUGGGAGACUUGAGUGCAGAAGAGGAGAGUGGAAUUCCAUGUGUAGCGGUGAAAUGCGUAGAGAUGUGGAGGAACACCAGUGGCGAAGGCGG
rnacentral:rRNA from 1 species